UACGGUCAAAUCACGUUCUGAAAACACCGGUUCUCGUUCGAUCACCGAAGUUAAGCAUCGUAGAGCCAGGUCAGUACUUUCGAUGGGGACCGCUUGAUGGGGAACACCUGGUACUGUAAG